rnacentral:rRNA from 1 species
GUYUUUUUGUUAAAAAUUUAAAGUCGGGCCUGCCCCCUGAAAUUUUAAAUGGCCGUGGUAUUUUGACCGUGCUAAGGUAGCAUAAUCAUUAGUUUUUUAAUUGAAAGCUGGAAUGAAAGGUUUGAUAAAAAAAUAACUGUCUCUAUUUAAUUUCAUUAAAAUUUUAUUUUUAAGUUCAAAAGCUUAAAUAAAAUUAAAAGACGAGAAGACCCUAUAGAGUUUAAUAUUAUAAUAUAAUUUUUAUUUUUGAAUUAAAUUAUUUAUUUUUUUAUAUUAUUUAGUUGGGGUGAUUGAAAAAUUUAAUUAACUUUUUUUAUAUUUUACCAUUAAUUUAUGAUAAUUUGAUCCAAUUUUUUUGAUUAUAAGAUAAAAUUACCUUAGGGAUAACAGCGUAAUUUUUUUAUAAAGUUCAAAUUAAAAAAAAAGAUUGCGACCUCGAUGUUGGAUUAAAAUUCAAAUUUUGGUGUAGAAGCUAAAAAUUUAAGUCUGUUCNACUUUUAAAAUUUUACA